UGUUCUGUGGUUUAGUUGGUUGAAGCACAGGUCUAGCGAAUACAAAGUCGUGGGUUCAAGUCCCACCAGAACUU
rnacentral:tRNA from 1 species